AGGCGCGUAGCUCAGCGGUAGAGCACUACCCCGACACGGUAGGGGUCGGCGGUUCGACCCCGCCCGCGCCUA